rnacentral:rRNA from 1 species
GUACGGCGAGUGAGCGGCAACAGCUCAAAUUUGAAAUCUGGCCUCUUUGGGGUCCGAGUUGUAAUUUGUAGAGGAUGUUUCGGGUACCGCCUCGGUUUAAAUUUCUUGGAACAGAAUGUCAGAGAGGGUGAGAAUCCCGUCUUGGACCGGCGGUAGGGCCCAUGUGAAACUCCUUCGACGAGUCGAGUUGUUUGGGAAUGCAGCUCAAAAUGGGUGGUAAAUUUCAUCUAAAGCUAAAUAUUGGCCAGAGACCGAUAGCGCACAAGUAGAGUGAUCGAAAGAUGAAAAGAACUUUGAAAAGAGAGUUAAACAGUAUGUGAAAUUGUUGAAAGGGAAGCGCUUGCAACCAGACUUGAGCGCGGCGGUUCCCCCUUCCUUUUGGUUGGGUUACUCCGCCGUGUCCAGGCCAACAUCGGUUCUGGGGGUCGGUUAAAGGCCCGGGGAAUGUACCUACUCCUUCGGGGGUAGACUUAUAGCCCCGGGUGUCAUGCGACCACCCGGGACCGAGGAACGCGCUUCGGCUCGGAUGUUGGCGUAAUGGUUGUCAGCGACCCG